UGCAAAAUUAUUCAGCCCCCUUAAGUUAAUACUUUGUAGCGCCACCUUUUGCUGCGAUUACAGCUGUAAGUCGCUUGGGGUAUGUCUCUAUCAGUUUUGCACAUCGAGAGACUGACAUUUUUUCCCAUUCCUCCUUGCAAAACAGCUCGAGCUCAGUGAGGUUGGAUGGAGAGCAUUUGUGAACAGCAGUUUUCAGUUCUUUCCACAGAUUCUCGAUUGGAUUCAGGUCUGGACUUUGACUUGGCCAUUCUAACACCUGGAUAUGUUUAUUUUUGAACCAUUCCAUUGUAGAUUUUGCUUUAUGUUUUGGAUCAUUGUCUUGUUGGAAGACAAAUCUCCGUCCCAGUCUCAGGUCUUUUGCAGACUCCAUCAGGUUUUCUUCCAGAAUGGUCCUGUAUUUGGCUCUUUAAGAAAUGGCUUUCUUCUUGCCACUCUUCCAUAAAGGCCAGAUUUGUGCAAUACACGACUGAUUGUUGUCCUAUGGACAGUCUCCCACCUCAGCUGUAGAUCUCUGCAGUUCAUCCAGAGUGAUCAUGGGCCUCUUGGCUGCAUCUCUGAUCAGUCUUCUCCUUGUAUGAGCUGAAAGUUUAGAGGGACGGCCAGGUCUUGGUAGAUUUGCAGUGGUCUGAUACUCCUUCCAUUUCAAUAUUAUCGCUUGCACAGUGCUCCUUGGGAUGUUUAAAGCUUGGGAAAUCUUUUUGUAUCCAAAUCCGGCUUUAAACUUCUUCACAACAGUAUCUCGGACCUGCCUGGUGUGUUCCUUGUUCUUCAUGAUGCUCUCUGCGCUUUUAACGGACCUCUGAGACUAUCACAGUGCAGGUGCAUUUAUACGGAGACUUAAUUACACACAGGUGGAUUGUAUUUAUCAUCAUUAGUCAUUUAGGUCAACAUUGGUUCAUUCAGAGAUCCUCACUGAACUUCUGGAGAGUUUGCUGCACUUAAAGUAAAGGGGCUGAAAAAUUUUGCACCCCCAAUUUUUCAGUUUUUUAUUUGUUAAAAAAAGUUUGAAAUAUCCAAUAUGUCGUUCCACUUCAUGAUUGUGUCCCACUUGUUGUUGAUUCUUCACAAAAAAAAUACAGUUUUAUAUCUUUGUUUGAAGCCUGAAAUGUGGCAAAAGGUCGCAAAGUUCAAGGGGGCCGAAUACUUUCGCAAGGCACUGUAUUUUUUAUUUAUUUAACUAGGCAAGUCAGUUAAGAACAAAUGCUUAUUUACAAUGACGGCCCACCGUGGCCAAACCCAGACGACGCUGGGACAAUUGUGUGCCGCCCUGUGCGACUCCCAAUCCUGGACAGGUGUGAUACAGCCUGGAUUCGAACCAGGGACUCUAGUGACGCCUCUUGCGCUGGGAUGCAGUGCCUUUGACAGCUACGCCACAAUGGAGUUGUAACUCUUUCUUAUAAUUUCAGUGAGUUCACUGGUUUUGGGUUCUGACAUAUAGAGUGUGGAAUCACCUGCAUAUAUAGUCAUUCUAGCUUUUACGUAAGACCAGUGGCAAGUAAUUUGUAAAAAUAGAGAAGCGUAACAGCCCAAGACAACGGCCCUGAUGUUAGAGAAGCUUGCAUUGAAGAACACUCUGGGUUCUAUCGGAUAAAUAACUCUCCGAGCAUGUGAUGUAAAGCCAUAGCUAGCGUGUUUCCUAAUGAACUAUUUAUGAUCAGUAACAUCAAAGGCUGCACUGAAAUCUAAUAAUACAGCUCCAACUGUCUUAUUAUCCAUUUAUUUUUAACCAAUCUGUCAUUUGAGUCCGUGCAGUACAAGUUGAGUGCCCUUCUCUCCAUCAGUUUACUAAGAACAGGUAGCAAACUGAUUUGGUGGCUGUUAGAGCCAGCAAAGGGUGCUUUACUAUUUUUAGGCAGUGGAAUUACUUUAGCUUCCUUCCACGCAUGUGGACACACUCCUUUUAGGCUUUGGUUAAACAUAUAGCAAAUAGGGGUGUCAUUACAGUCUACCAUUCUCAAUAGUUUCCCAUCAAGGUUGUUUAUACCUGGCGGCUUUUCAUUAUUGAUGGAUAACAAUAGCUUUUCCAUUUCUCCCACACAAACUUGACCAAAUUCAAAACAGCAAACCUUCUCUUUCAUUAGAUUUGACACAUUUUAAAACAUUUAAAAUUGUAUUAUGGUUUACUGUUCAAUGUUGUCAUUUAAACUGAUGUUUUCCACUUUACUAGUGAAAUAGUAAUUGAAAUGAUUGGCAAUAUCGAAAGGCUUUGUUAUAAACGACCCAUCAACUUCAAUGAUCGAUGGAUAUUAAUUGGGUUUCUUGCCCAUGUCAUUUUAGGUCAUCCAAAAUCUUUCAAUUGUGUUUUGUAAUUUAUCUUGGUUUGGUAAUACACAACAUUUCAACCUAUCAGCUGAGCAUUCUGACUUGUUAGACACCUAAUAAUUUCUUUAAACCAUAACAUUUUUCAGUUCAUCAAUCCGAUUGGCCCUAACAGUUCUCACAGGCAAUUUCUUAAUAGGUGCAUGUUUGUCAGCAAUUGGCAUGAAUAAUUUUAUUUCCAGUGCUGCAUCUGGAUUCACUUCCUCAUACACAUCAGACCAACAUACAUGUUUUAUAUCUUCAACAAAAGAGUCCUUAGAGAACAUUUUGUAUGAUCUCUUCAAUUUCUUUAUACUCAGCUUUUGGCACUUUGACGUUCCUUGUUAUUGCCACAAUGUUAUGGUCACUACAGCCAAUGGGAUCUGAUAAUGCUUUUGGAGCAAAGCUCUGCAGCAUUAGUGAAGAUAUGAUCAAUACAGGUGGAUGUCACAGAUCCUACACUAUUGGUAUGCACUGUAGUUGGUUGAGUGAUAACCUGGGUCAUAUUACAGGCAUGAUUGACUCCAUUUAUAAUGUAUUUUCCCUAUCGCAAUUUAUGCUGUUGGCUUUGGUACAUCAUUAAAUUCAAGUAAAGUACAGAACUGUAUUAUGCAAGUAGAUAUAAAAAUCUACUCAAUACUCAACUUAUCCAGUAGGGUGCAAAGUUUAUUGUAUAUUGUUCUAUCCGGACCUUUCACACUCCUGAAUAAGCCCUUUUUUUCCAGCUGCAUUAAACCAUGAUUUUAUUUUUUUACUCAUAAGUUCACUAUGCUAUGCAAUAAAGGUAUUCACUACUUAUUGGUAUGGUAUGUAGUAAUGAGUAUCUGAUUCCCUAAGGUUUGCAAUUUAAGUUACGCAAUUUGUUUCUACUGUAAUGGCACAAUGUAGGUUGAAGUUGCCCCUAGACGCUGAUCUUGGGUCAGUUUUGCAUUUCCCCCACCUAUGGUUAAGAUUCAUUGGGGAAGGGGAAUCUGAUAUUAGAUCUGUACCUAGGGGAAAUAUCACCCCGGAGCAUUUUUGUUGUGCGUGAAAAUGAUCAGGGAAGAGGACAGUGUGAUGUUGCAUCAAUUUAACAGCUUGUCCUGGUACCUCCUUGUUCAGGAAAAGUACUACUGACUUUAGUAAUAAACAUAUUUUUCUACUGAC
ensembl:lncRNA